rnacentral:rRNA from 1 species
CCUACGGGAGGCAGCAGUAGGGAAUAUUGCACAAUGGGGGAAACCCUGAUGCAGCAACGCCGCGUGGAUGAUGAAGGUUUUCGGAUUGUAAACUCCUUUUGUUAGGGAAGAUUAUGACGGUAUCUAACGAAUAAGCACCGGCUAACUCCGUGCCAGCAGCCGCGGUAAUACGUAGGGUGCAAGCGUUACCCGGAUUCACUGGGCGUAAAGAGUGCGUAGGCGGGGUAAUAAGUCAGAUGUGAAAUCCUGUAGCUUAACUACAGAACUGCAUUUGAAACUGUUACUCUGGAGUGUAGGAGAGGUAAGUGGAAUUCUUGGUGUAGGGGUAAAAUCCGUAGAGAUCAAGAGGAAUACUCAUGGCGAAGGCGACCUGCUGGAACAUUACUGACGCUGAGGCACGAAAGCGUGGGGAGCAAACAGGAUUAGAUACCCUGGUAGUC